CCAUCUCACGUGGUCCCCGCUGCCACCUGGAGAGGUCAGAGGGCAGGAACUCUUACUCCCAAUUCACACUGGGACAAUUCCCAGCUGGACUAGAACCCCGAUCUCCUGACUCCUGGCUCAGGUGAGAGUCAACAUGCAAGGCUGGGCCCACAGCAGCCCUGGCAUUUGACCAGCAGCCAGGUGAGACCCUAACUUCGCGGAAGACGACACCCCUCAGCUGGGCGGGGAGGAGGGCCACCGCCUCCUGGCCACCCAAUCAGAGACAUUCCCAGUCUGAUGGCGGAGGCCGCCAGGGCCAAGGGCUCCCAGGGCCUUCCCCGGGGAACCCCCGAGACCUGCCCCGGACUCGGAGGCCCACCGCGCAUCGCCCGCCCCCAGCCUCAUUAGCACCGACACCCGUCGUCCUCCCCUCGGUUUCCGAUGGCUCCAGAAUUUAAAGGUUAAAUCCUAACCUCGUCUCAGCAGUUUCUCCCGGCUUUGCCUACCCAGCGCCAGUUGCUGGUAAUUAUAUGCAUCUCCGAGCAGCCAAUCAGCUGUCAGACUGACAGAUACUGAUCUUUUCGUUUUAUUUUUAGCUCU
rnacentral:lncRNA from 1 species